AUCAAUUUUUGUCUGAGUUUCACAGACCUUGGUGGAGCCCAACUUAAGCCUCCGUCCCCGUAUAGGGUUUAUCCUGCAACCUCUCGCGCCAUACCAGUCACUCUCUUCUGAGCUAUAGAAGCCACGGAUGCACGAAGCUAAUGUUAAACCUAAUCACGACCACAAUGCCCGGAUAACAUCCUCAAUUGCCUGAAAUCACACCUAGGCCCAACAAAAUGAGAUAUUUACGGUUCAUUUCCCCACAUUUUUCUUGCAUUCACAAAACCCUAAACCCCCAAAGCCCUAAUCUUCUAUCCUGUCUCCAAUCAAAGCCCCGGAUAUGUUCGCAUUUCGUGUGCAAUUACACCACCGAUGCACCGGAGCAAAGGCCACCUCCGUCCGAGACGGUGUCGGCGAUCGCGGAUGAGAUCUCGGGCCUGACUUUGCUUGAAGUCUCGGACCUCACGGAGGUUCUGAGGGAGAAAUUGGGCAUAAAGGAGAUGCCGGUGAUGGCGAUGAUGAUGCCAGGGAUGGGAUUUGGCGGCUUGAAAGGGGCCGGCAAGGGUGGUCCGGCGGCGGCUAAAGGCGAGGAAAAGGUGGAGAAGACGGCCUUUGAUGUAAAGCUCGAUUCUUUUGAUGCUGCUGCGAAGAUCAAAGUGAUUAAGGAGGUGAGGACGUUUACGAGUUUGGGGCUGAAGGAGGCCAAGGACUUGGUGGAGAAGGCGCCUACCCUGUUGAAGAAGGGAGUUACGAAGGAGGAGGCGGAUUCGAUUGUGGCGAAGAUGAAGGAAGUUGGUGCCAAAGUUUCUAUGGAGUGAGGGGGACACAAUUUGGAUUUUCGCCCUUCAGCGUUAGAAAACUCACGUCCAGUUAUGUGUUGGACCUGUAAAUUAUCAUGAAAAUUUAUUCUGCAAAACCAGAAUUUGUUGUAUCAUCUCAGCCAAAGUGAAGUACGCUGGGAGUUAUGAAGGCUCUGCCAACCACAAGCACUUAACAUGAAAGAGGAAGAGCUUGUAGGGUUGUAGAAAACUGGGACUGGACUCAUUGUGGACAUCGAAAGACAAAGCUGUGCCAAGCGACUUUACAAGUAUGUUUUUGUUUGAAUUUUGACCACAACAAUGGUCUUGGUAUAUUGCAUUAUGACCAGAUUGAGGCUAGUACUAAACCAUUGCCAAACAAGGCAUAAUUUUUUUAAAUAAUUCGGUAUAAGUCCAAUUCUUAUAAUAGAAUUUGGGUGCAAUAUAGGAUUACAUUAUAUUACAUUCUUUUUCUAAUUUUAUGAUGUAAUCAUAUAUAUUUUUUCUUUUUAAAUUUAUUUUCAUGUUCUAAUUAUGCCCUUAUGAUUUAAAUCGGGAAAGAUUGAUUUAUAUCAUAAUAAUUAGCUAAUUAAUACAACUAUUGAUUCUAAUUGCAA